rnacentral:rRNA from 1 species
UACAGAGGGUGCAAUCGUUGUUCGGAAUUAUUGGGCGUAAAGCGCGUGUAGGCGUCAUUGCAAGUCGGGUGUGAAAGCCCUCAGCUCAACUGAGGAAGUGCGCCCGAAACUGCAGUGCUUGAGUACCGGAGAGGGUGGCGGAAUUCCCCAAGUAGAGGUGAAAUUCGUAGAUAUGGGGAGGAACACCGGUGGCGAAGGCGGCCACCUGGACGGAUACUGACGCUGAGACGCGAAAGCGUGGGUAGCAAACAGG